CCAGGAACAGGUUGCAGUUCAACUACGUGAACCUGGAAAAUGAUGCUCAUGAGAUGGUUUAGAAUCCCAAAAGUGGAAGCACAGUGGUCCAUCUAAGUAAGGCGUGGAGAACAAAUACCGCUCCAGGCAUUGCUGAACUACAAAGCCCAGCAUCCAUUACCUUGAAUCACACUGGUUGGAGUCAGCAGCAUGUGAGGGACAAGAGACGUGCCACUGAAACUUUGACCGGUCACUAAAGGAACGGUUGUAACUUCGAGGACUGCCUGUAUUGGGUUCUACUGAUAACGUCUGCCUUAAAAUUUGUGAACGCUGUCUCAAACGUCACUUCCCCCACCUCCAUAACUCAUCUGAAGGAAUGAGAAAAGGAUGAUGUCUUAAAAGGAACACCAACCACACUGGAGAUUCGA